UAUCCGUACACUAUAAAACCACUGUCGC
rnacentral:sRNA from 1 species